CCGAGGGCUCUCCCUUUUCCCAGAGCGCAUACCAAAGGCCGACUCCUUUGCAGGCUCCACGAGCCCCAUUCGCGGUGGAGAGGGGCGUUCCAGGCUGCAGGAAUACACAGUUUAGUCAACUAAAUGACCUAAUACUGAAAAUACAAUGGCCUCAGAAAAGACAGACUAUUUACAGAACUCUAUUCGUGAAACAGACAUUAGAGACAAUCCAAUCCCAUCUCUAUUACAUUCAACCCUUAGAAAUAAGAGUAUGAAAGAGAAAAUACAUACUCUGGAAUCCAUUGGUCCUACCCCACUUAUUCAGAAUAAUUCAAUUAAAAACAACAUACACCAUAUAGGAAUGUCAAC